CAAAGAUCAUUGCUUCGAAAUAGCUUGUGCAAUCCUCCUCGCUGGGCCUUUGAAUCUCCCCUUCACCAGCCUUCAAUGCACCCUGCUCUCCACGAGGUGUUGGCUCCCCACUGUGCUGUUCCCACUGAUCCCAGGUAGGCAUCAGGAUCCCUUUAAAAGUCUCUCUCUGUGUUCUUCAAUUAAAGUUUGACCCCAUAUCAGCAUACUGUCUGCAUUAUUAGGAGUAGUUUUUUAAAAAUAGAUUAGCACUUCUUACUUUAACACACUCAUUCAAAAAGAGAUUUUUAUAUUGCGUUCCUAGGCAGAAGAUCUUUAUAACUUGUGACUAAUUAAAGAUAAGCGUGAGAAAUGUGUCACUCUAUUUUUUAAAUUAAAGAAAUAGCAAAAAUAAAAAGUAAAUGGGUAAUUCCAACUAAUAACACAUCUGCUUUACAAACAUGUACACCCAAAAAUGAGUCACUCAGUGUGGAAAUUGCACUGUUGAUGGCUAAAGGUUAUUUAGCAAUAUGCAGAUCAUCAGGUGGAAAUUGUAUGGCAUUUACAUCUCCCAAUGCUCUUGAUGCUGUGUUGUGACAAGAGGGUCAGACUCCCUGGGCUCAAUCUGGGGUAGGGAUUCAGGAUAAAGAGAGAAAUGCACUGAUCAAAGGAAACACCCAUGAGCCAUCAAGAUGCAAAAGCACUCGGGAGCAACUGUAACAACUGUCACUCCUGAGCAACAUGCUCGCCCCGUGUAAAACAAGGAAAUGUGAAAAGGCAAAGAGAAUUGGCUUGCAACAUUCAGCUCCCUGGCUGGCCCUCUCGUCCAGCCCCUCAUUACUGCCCCUUUAUAAAUAUUGGAGCCCCAACCCAAGUAGGGUCUGCUCACUUCACAGGAGCCCACACUGUCCUUGAAUGUGUACCUAUUUCCUAGGCAAAGCUCUGACUAUGCCUUUGACUGGUAUGUGCUGAAAUUCUUUUCUGUCACAUAUGUCAAGGACCCCCCUGGUCCUGGCUCAAAUCCCCCCUUCUCUCUGGGAACUCCUCGGACCCUUCUUCAGAGAAAUCUCUUCUCCCAUGACGAAUCCAGUACUAAGGCUGACUGUCUGAAUGUCUGAAAGCAGUUUUGGACUCCAGGUGCCUCCCAGAGAGGAGAGCUAUAUGUCCCAUGGACAUAAAUGGCACAAGCUCCUGGCAUUCUGGCUGUCCACAGGAGGCCAUCCCUCUAGGACUGCUGAGAAAGAAGGUAUGAGAGUCAGCUACAGUAGCCAAUAGGCCCAAAGUUCAAUGGCUUAUUUUGCUUACGUGAAGAGCUAGAGUGCUGUUCUGGUCAAUAAUGUGGUGCCCUCCACGUGGUCACCUAUGGAUCUUGACCAGGGUGCAGGCAGGCUUUCUGUAGAUGGUGAAUAUGGAGGUUUUGUGGGCCAGGCAGUCUAUGUGGCCUCCACCCAGCUCUGCUGCUGAAGGGACAGCAGCCCUAGAUGUUACACGAGCACACGGCAGGGCUGUGUUCCAAUACAACUUGUUUUUAUAAACAGACACUGGACCAGAUUUGGCCUUGGGCUGUAGUGUGCUGACCCCAGGCUAGACCCUGGUGGCUUUCCUUGUUGUUUCCUCUGUUGUCAUGAGUGGUGGCUACAGUCAGCUGGAGGUGGAGGAGCAUGGAGGAGUGAUCACAGGGCUCCAGGGUCCAGCCUGGAGAGGCGCUCCUGCCUGCCAGGCACAUCCCCUGGGAGGGACUCAGUCACCUGAUCAGUCCAAGGGAGGCUGGGAAGGGAGGUGGUUUGCAUGUGGCCCAAGAAAUCAGGGCAGAUUUAGUGAACUCCCAGGAAUCCCUGCCACAAGUAAUAUACAUUAAAUCAUGAACUUUAUAUUAGGAAUUGUUUUUCUAAUACAUGACAAAAGAAAUGUCAUGUCAUAUAAUAAAUUAUAUUAAUAAUUUAGUCUGUGCACCAUCAUUAAAGACCCCACCAAACUCCAAGAAUAAAUACACUGCACUUUUGUGUUUGUUUGAAUCAAAUCAUGAGAGCCUGAUCGCAAAACCAGUCCUUGUUUGCUAGGGAUAUUUUGUAAAGGUUUUCUUUAGCCUUUUAAUCAGAAAGAAACAAAAGGAAAUUCAGAAAGAAACGUAAAAAUAUUUGAUGCAGAAAAUUAAGAUUGAACUAUAGCCCAGAAAGUGUUCUGCAAAAAAAUCAAGCCAUAGAUGAUAUUACCAACAUCUGAGUAAAUAGUGAUCUCAAAACAGAAAGGUGUUUUGUGUGCUUUCUUCCUUUGAGAAUUCUUUGUUUUUAUAUCUAUUAAGCUCAAAAUAAUCAGUGAUGUCUGCUGAUGGUCCUGGGUAUUGAGAGAUGGGCAGGACUUGGAGAAGAAGAGAAGAGAGGACAUUAGCACUGGUGCCAGGCAGGCUUGGGUGCUGCCUGGGGGAUUCAGUCCAACUGGAAAGUUGAAAAGAAUUUGAACACACUGCAUGCCCAGACAAUGGGAAAUCACUGAACGACAACUACAAAGUAAAAAGUGUGUAUCUGAAAGUAGAGUCUGACGGAAGCAGGUGAGCCAUUUGGAGGCACCAGCAGAGUGAUUAAGAGAAACACAAGACACUCAAUGGGAGGGGCAGAUAGGCCCUCCUUUUCAAACAGUUAAGUCCUCUGAACUCCACCAGCACACUCCACACACGCUCCCCGGGAAUUCUCCCAUUCUCCCGAAGGCCACGCGGCUCCUCCAGGAACCAGCAACCGGAAAUAUCCCUCCUCUGGCACUUCCCCAACCAAUGGGAACUCAGGAAUCCCCGCGAGAGCUCAAGCGGAACUCAACAGGAACUCCGCCAGAACUCAAAAGUCAUCAUCUUAAUGGCUCGCUAGCGUCACGUCUCAACCACUACUUCUGGCAAAAAUGCCAUGCAUCAUCCCGACUGGGCUGUGGCCCUCAACAUCUCCCCCCUUCUGUUUAAUUAAACAACAAGCAAUGUGGCUUAGGGACCGUGCCUGUUAGACUGUCCAGUACUACAUAUGGUCCUUACCCGUUAUCAGAUGAGCUGACCUCAAGGCGUCAGCCUCCUGUCUUAGGUUGGUACCACUGCAAUUGGAUCUUACCCGUCACUGACUACCGGUCUAGCAUACAGCCAUACUUGUGGAUAGGCCUAUGCACCAGUGGGGGGGGUGAGGUUCUUUGCCUCACUUCUGUUGGCCCCCAAAUUUGGCCUUUGCCAGUGGGGGGGUGAGGUUCUUUGCCUCACCUCUGUU
rnacentral:lncRNA from 1 species